rnacentral:rRNA from 1 species
CCGCAUGGAAGGGCCAUCGCUCAACGGAUAAAAGCUACCCCGGGGAUAACAGGCUUAUCUCCCCCAAGAGUCCACAUCGACGGGGAGGUUUGGCACCUCGAUGUCGGCUCAUCGCAUCCUGGGGCUGUAGUCGGUCCCAAGGGUUGGGCUGUUCGCCCAUUAAAGCGGUACGCGAGCUGGGUUCAGAACGUCGUGAGACAGUUCGGUCCCUAUCCGUCGCGGGCGCAGGAAAUUUGAGAGGAGCUGUCCUUAGUACGAGAGGACCGGGAUGGACGCACCGCUGGUGUACCAGUUGUCUUGCCAAAGGCAUAGCUGGGUAGCUACGUGCGGACGGGAUAAGUGCUGAAAGCAUCUAAGCAUGAAGCCCCCCUCAAGAUGAGAUUUCCCAUGGCGCAAGCUAGUAAGAUCCCUGAAAGAUGAUCAGGUUGAUAGGUCAGAGGUGGAAGCGUGGCGACAUGUGGAGCUGACUGAUACUAAUAGAUCGAGGACUUAACCAAC